ACUAAACAAAUAGACCAAGUGUCACAGUUGGUUGAUCAUCUUUCGGUAAAUUUAUUUACGACAAUAAAUCUGCAACGUUGCAUAGUGAAUAGCUUGAUUUUGCAGUUUCUCUGAAGAUCGGAUAUCGGGGAUAUCUAUCUCGGUUCAAUCGAAAACAGGUCGUCCUUAAGCGCGUCGGAGUCAAGACCAGAUGUCUCAUUUCGCCUUCAAUUUUAAUGAUACUUCAAGCACAUCCUUAAAGAGCAAUGUGAGUUCGAAAGCCCUGCUCUAUUGUAAUCUCUUGAUUUUUCAUACAUCAACGGUAUUUUUUAUGCAAGUGUCUCGGUUCGAUAGGGUCAUGAAAUUGAGAAAAACGAAGAUAAAGUUUGCCCAGACGUCAGGGAUACAUAAAGUGACAUGAUAGUGAUACUGAUGAAUUUUUUUUUUAUGAAAACUUCAGAGUCCGUCAAGACGGAAUUGUGUCUGCGUAUCAUUAAUCACAAUCAAAUUAAGUCAAUUCAAUAAUUGUCACUUAUACUAUGAUGUUAUCGAUAAGGCCCCCAAACAUUUUCUAAUGGUAAGCCCACAUUUCCUAUGCAAAAAUACCAAAUGGGCGGAAAUCAGAUGACUUUUUCAAAAAAAGGGGAAAAAAACCUCAAGUCAUUUUUUGUGGGAAUGAGGCAAGGGAAGCAGGGUGGGGGCGUAAAUAGGCCCGCACUUGUUGAAUAAAGGUUAAAAGGCCUAAAGCAAAACAAUACUAGAGAUUUACUGACACCCAUUGAGCUUUUGAGUAGAGUCAGUCGUCUAGUAUAUUAGAAAAGUAAUUCGAUGCGAGUACAGACUUCAACUCUCACCAUAAUGAGGAAACUUUUGGGAUCCUGGACAACUCUAAAAAGCUCAGGGGAUCAACGAAGAGUAAGCCUUGGGAACUGACCAGCUCAGGCUUCAGCCUCUAAAUCUUCAGUGAUCAUAACAGGCAAUAGCCUAAGAGUUGAAACAUAUCUUUUUCUUCUGAAUUUCCAAGAUCUGAUAAACCGAUAAAAAUCCAUUUUAUCUCCUAACAAAAAACAUCAUCUUCUUCAUUUUUUUUUUUUUUUGAUAACGCUCCAGUUCUUACUCUCUUUUGGUUAAAAUUUUCAAUCUCGUCGGGAGCCUCGGCCCGAUCGGAUCUCUUGGUCUUGGCUUGUUAUGUCUCAAGGAUACUCUGGCUUCAACAAGUGUAGUUGUCUAUCAGUCAUAGUGUCAUAGCUACCAACUUCUUUCUCACAGAAUGGAACCCAAUAGGGACGUAUCCUGAGGACGAAUAUGAAUCUUACGAAGAUGAGGCUCAGCACACGCUUCUUAUAUAUUUUGCAUAUUACAUAUUAUUAUUUAAAUGCUGCAUUUGGCACUAUACAGUAUCAAAAAAUUCCCCCUCACUAGCGAGGGAUUUUCCUCAACAAGAAUAUCGAUUUUGACCUCGUCUUUACUCUUGUCAUUUACAUUUAUUUUAUUUCAUAACCAUGUAAGUAAUUUUAGUUUUCAAAAUAUAUGGAUAAAUAUGAUUGUUAUUGUGCGAGUUUUAA